CUGCCAAAUAUACUACAGAAGACCUUUGUUAAGAUAAUGACUGACAAUGCCUGUUCCGUUUCUCUCGGUUCUAGCUUGAACAGCGACAUACACAUUUGUGUAGACGGUGCAGGCACCUCUGGAGGUUGCAAUGGCGACAGUGGCGGUCCUUUGGUGUGUAGAGUCGGUAAUGACUUUGAACUUGCUGGUGUGACGUCAUUUGUCUUUGGAAAAUGUUUGACAAGCUAUCCUACAGUAUACGCCGAGACGUACGCCUUCAGGACCUGGAUCCAAAACGUCAUGAAUAACAUGUAAUCAAAGUUGUAAUCGUGUUAUUUCAACAAUAAAAUACGUAAUGUCUC